rnacentral:tRNA from 1 species
GUUCCCAUCGAUUAGUGGUCAGAUCGUCACGUUGUGGCUUUGGGUAGUACCUAGCAAAACCGUGGAGACGGGGGCUCGACUCCCCCUGGGAACA